UGUCAUUCUCAUUUGCUAUUGUAAUUGUAAAUUAGUAAAUCAUUAUAAAUUAUCGAUAAAUACAAUUCUUAUCAAUUUCUAUACAACAAUAGUGUCAGGCCAGUUGAAUUCCGCUGUAUUCAUGAGGUUAUACUGUUAACUUGAGUCGGAAAGUAUGAUGACAAAAUUAGUUUUUCCGUAAAAACUUGCCGGUUUUGUUGGAUUAAGAAAAAUGACGGUCACUUGCAAACAACUGUAUAUUGCUGAUAACAUUGAUGCUCUCAAUGUUCUUGCAAAAGAAAUACCACUGAAAAAGAAUGGCAAUUUCGACAGCAAAAUGAAGAAUUUGGAUAUUCUAUACAAAAACGCCCAAGACAAUUUAAUUGAUCAAGAAAAAGCAUAUAUCAUUUUAUACAGAUUUUUGCUAUGUUAUGCAGAAUACUGCAAAACCAUAAAUGACAAACGGUUCAUGGAAAUAAGAUUUGAAACACAGUUGAAGAAAGCUCGGAGACAAUUGGAGGUCUUACAAAAAGAUUUAACUCUCAGAUAUUCUAACAGAGAAGAUAACGAUAAAUCAAAUAUUACACCUUCCAAGAAGACAUCUGAGAGUUCCACCUCAAUUAAGAAAUUUCCAGAUAAUGAAAUUAAGUGUGAAGCAUUGUAUCUUGCCUUACAAGAUCCCAAAAACAAUAUAUUACUUGUUGAUGCUCGAUCUAAUAAAGAUUUUAAAGAAUCGAGAAUGAAAGAAGGAACAGUCAUCAAUGUUCCUGAUGAUGUGAUUCAGUCGGGAUUAUCUGCACACUGCAUUGGUGAAGUCAUACCUGAGGAAUUCAAACCUGUAUGGCAAAAAAGAGAUACUUUUGACAUUGUUGUUUUAUUUGACUGGAAGAGUACUUCAGAAACCAUGGCAGCAACUAAACUAGAGAAACUUUUAUCGUCAUUGGUUGAUUGGGAUACUAAUAGAACUUAUAAACAGAAACCAAUUAUAUUGAGUGGUGGCUACAUGGAGUGGGGACAAAAGUACCCUUUUCAUUGUAUAAAUCCAAAUGUUGUGAUGAACAAAGUGAAUGAUGAAUUGGAUGAGUUGUUGGAUCUUGAUGAUAUUCAAUAUCCCUCUGAGGAAGCAAAGGAACCAAUAAUAGCAUUCAAAGAAGCGAAUGCCUCUGUAGAACCCACUAAAGAUGUGGGAACAAGAGCGGAAUUGAUUCAGAAGAAUAGGGAAUUAGCUAAGCAAAGUGAACUUGUUUUGAAAGAUAUUGUUGUUGCCGAAAAUAGAUGGAAAGAAGAACAGGAUAUUGAUAAACGAAAGGAACUUGAAAAAUGUAUAGCUGACUUGGAUAAGAAAUUUGAAAUAUUAACGGAAGAGAAAAAUAGAACUCAAGACUUAUAUGAAUUAUAUGCUCAAUAUGAUUCUCAGAUGGGAAGUUCUAAAGCAGAUCAAACAAAAGGAAUUGUAGACACUGACAAAACUGAAGACCAACAAAUGCUUAUUCGUCAAACAAUUGCCCAACAGCGGUUAGAUGUGUUAGCAAAAGCUCGUGCUCUGAAACCAAAAGCAGCUGGAGAUCCUACUAUGGGAAUAACUCCAAGCUUAGACAGUGACAUAAGCCAGAAAGAUUUAAAAAUCGACAGGCCUAUGAUAAACAGGGCUACAAAGCCUAUUAACUUAAUUCAAAGAUCUCGACUCAUGGAUGGUCCACUGACAUUCAAUCCUGAUGGUGGUGGCCUUGUUGGUCUCAGAAAUAUUAGAAACACAUGUUACAUGAAUACUGUCGUCCAGUGCAUGAGAAAUAUUCCACAACUUGCAGCAUUAUUCUGCACUGGUUCGUAUAGCCACCAUGUAAGGAGGAAGCCGGAUGCAAUCAUCAUAGAAACAGCUGUUCUUUUCCGUUCAUUAUGGUCGAAUAACCCUAAAACAUUAAAUCCAAUCGAUUUCUAUGAAAAAAUAUGUUCCAUUGAACCAAGCUACAGAAUGGGCAACCAUGAGGACUGCAUGGAAUUUUUCUUAUUCCUCCUCAAUAAUCUAAGCGAAGAUUGUGCUUAUGACAUACAAAAACCAGAUAUGAUGUCUCCUGUUCAACAAGCUUGGUUUAAUCAGCUGGGAGGAAAGAAAUCCAUUUUUACUGAUAAUUUUUACCAUCAGCUGAGGAUAACUCAAGUUUGUUACAAUUGCAACAGAACAACUUACAAGUUUGAAAUGGAAAGUACAUUCAUGCUUCCUGUACCAGAGGAUGAUUUCAGGAUUGAAGAUUUGAUGAGGAAUUAUAUGCAGGAUUAUAUUAUUGAUGACUACUGUUGUUCUAAAUGUAAACAGCCUGUGACAAAUUCUAAAACCGUUGUUGUGGCUCCUGAAAUAUUGGUAAUUGUCCUGAAAAGAUACAAACAAAUAGUUCGUAAUAAUAAUGUAUCUGUGUCGAAAGUUGAUUCAAGAGUGUCUUUUCCUACUAAAAAUUUCCAUUUUGGAGGAUGCACUUACACCUUGAAUUCUAUUGCAAUGCACUCUGGUUCUAUGACUUCUGGACAUUACACAGCUGCCUGUUUCACGAAUUUUAAGUGGUACGAAUUCAACGAUGAACUGGUUCGGCCAAUUACUCUAGAGGACGAUGCAUUGAGAGUCAAGGCUUGUGCUUUUUUCUAUUCUAUAGAAUACCAUUGAAUGUGAUAAAUGUUGCUAAAUUCAUCAUUGUUGGAUACUUGUAUAUUUUAAUGAUAUUUAUUAUCUUGUUAUUUCAUUAAGUAUUAUCAAGUUUAGUUUAGGAAUUUUUAUUCAAACUAAUCCCUAAUUCAUUUUUAUUCUUAUGUAUCUUGGUAUAUGUAAGAAUUAUAAUAUUUAUUACUGAAUUGUUGCCCCAUUUAUGUUAUUUUAUAAAAAAAAAUAUUAAAUUCCUCCAAUGGAUAAAGACAAUUUAUUUUUCGAUUCCCCGUCUCCGAAUUUUAAAAGCCAUAAUAUUUGGCUUCUGAUCACUAUUUAAUUUUCAUUGUGGUGUACUGAAGGGACCAAAUAAUCAAAGUAUUAUCUAAAUUAAUUUAGUCGACAACUUAACAAAACUGUCCGCUAUUUUGCAGUUUAUAUUUGUUAUUUUAAGAUUUUCACACUGAAUAAAAAUAUUGAAAAAGGAUCUCUCAAAUUUUGUAUUUUGAAUGAAUUUCGUGUGUCGAAGCGCUGAAAAAGCUUACCCCAAAUGGACUUUAUUAAAAAUACGUGCUUAUGAGUGAUUCAGUGCAUUCAAAAGCGAUCGAGAUCUAGUAGAUUAAUAACUUUUUGUAAUCAGAACCCAUUACAGUACAUAGUGUAAUGAUGUGGAAGAUUACUCUUGCACUGUUCAAAUAUCGACUAAAAUUAAAGUAAUCUCUUUUUCUAAUCAGUGUAAUUAGAACCCAUUACACUAUACAUAGUGUAAUGAUGUGAAAAAUUAGUCUUGCUCUGUCCAAAUAUCUCUUUUUCUUAUCACAACCUAUUACAUUAGGUAGUGUAAUGGUUUCUGAUUGCACUUGACAAUGUCUGCAGGAAAUAGGCAAUUAUGGUUUUAUUUUGUACAGACAUUGUAGCGUCUUACUAGUAGUUUUCAAGUUUUCGAUAUUAUACUUUGAUCUAUCAGUUCGUUUACCACUUUUCUGCAUUAUAGUUUAUAAUAUCAAAACUCUGAAAGCUUUUGCUUAAUUCUGUCAAGAAUUUAAUAGAUCAAAUUCUUUAUUUGAAAUUUACCCCUAAUUCCUUACGAAAUUAAUGAUUAAUAAUAAUAAUAAUAAUGAGAUCAUAAACGUGGCGAUUAUCAAAUUGCGAAGAUUUCCAAUGUUUAGGGGAAUACCCGUCUGAUUAGUUAUGAUGAGGGGGAACAAUUUAGUGAUGAUAAAGAUGUAAUGCGAGAGUGUUUACGGCUAAGUUUGCCUACAUUACAAUUCGUAGCACGACGUAUAAAAACUUAUUUGAGUUCGAUAUUCUAGCUUAUUCACGUUAUGAACGACCAAAAACUUGAGUGAAUCUAAUUAUUAAAGUGAUUUCUGAAUCAUGAUAUGGAAAACAAGAUUAUUGUUGGUAUAAAUCAUCCGAAAGUACAGCUAUAAGUUGUUGGUGAAAAUCGGUUAUAUUUACAAAAAUGGAGGGAUGGAAUAUGGAUCAAACAGAAUUAAGAUGUGGACUGGGAUGGAGAACGAGCACCUGGUAUGAAUUCUGCAGCGAGGGGGUUGAGAUUACUUCCUUUUACCACCUCCGCUGAAUCCAGUUUCAAGUUACUGACCAUACUAGAUAUGUCGUUACUUGUUGUUCUAGGACAAGUAGGUCUAAAAAAAUAUCAGUUGUAAAUUAUAAAAUGAGCUAUAUGCUUGUUGACAUAUAUUCUAAAUCAAUAAUUAUGUAAUAUUGAGUAAUCAAUAAUAUGAAGAAUUAUUUUAAUUGAAUAAGAAUGCUUCAUCUUUCUCAAUAUAACAGGUUAAUUUCA